UAGUCUGGUGCCAGCAGCCGCGGUAAUUCCAGCUCCAAUAGCGUAUAUUAAAGUUGUUGCAGUUAAAACGCUCGUAGUCGGAUUUCGGGGCAGGUUUGCCGGUCUGCCGAUGGGUAUGCACUGGUAGAACUGUCCUUCCUUCCGGAGACGGCGCCUACUCUUAACUGAGCGGGUGUCGGAGACGGAUCGUUUACUUUGAAAAAAUCAGAGUGUUUCAAGCAGGCAGCUCGCUUUUGCAUGGAUUAGCAUGGGAUAAUGAAAUAGGACUUUGGUGCUAUUUUGUUGGUUUCGAACACCGAAGUAAUGAUUAACAGGGACAGUCAGGGGCACUCGUAUUCCGCCGAGAGAGGUGAAAUUCUUAGACCAGCGGAAGACGAACCACUGCGAAAGCAUUUGCCAGGGAUGUUUUCACUGAUCAAGAACGAAAGUUAGGGGAUCGAAGACGAUCAGAUACCGUCGUAGUCUUAACCAUAAACCAUGCCGACUAGGGAUUGGAGGAUGUUCCUAUGUGACUCCUUCAGCACCUUUCGGGAAACUAAAGUCUUUGGGUUCCGGGGGGAGUAUGGUCGCAAGGCUGAAACUUAAAGGAAUUGACGGAAGGGCACCACCAGGAGUGGAGCCUGCGGCUUAAUUUGACUCAACACGGGGAAACUUACCAGGUCCAGACAUUGUGAGGAUUGACAGAUUGAGAGCUCUUUCUUGAUUCGAUGGGUGG
rnacentral:rRNA from 1 species